rnacentral:lncRNA from 1 species
UUUAAAUUCAUCAUUGAUAUUUCCUCAAAAGUGUUCUUCUAUUUGGUUUAUUGUUUUUAGUUUAUUGUUUGGUACAAAUUGCUAUAGAUGGGUGGUUCUUUUGACGCUAAUAUGUUGGAUUUUUUUUUUAUUGGCGUGGUAAGGGCAGGGAGUUGAAGCUAUGGAGGGAGCACAUCUGCUUGGAUUGCAUUUGUGGGGCCGACGGGGCACCUGACUGCCGCCAAUUCUUUGCCCCGUCUGGAUACGUAUGAGUUUCACUUUCACUUUUUGAGUGCCAAUUCUUCAAAAACGAAUAAUUGAUGCAUGUUUUUUGGUUAUCUGUGGUCUACAAAGGUUUUAUAAUUUGUCUGUGUUUCUCUUUUCAUUAGUCAUAAGUUGCUGCUUGAGUUUAGUUUUUAUUUUUUUAGUUCAUUGGGAGUUUUAUUGAAGCUUUGGACUCAUAUACAAUUAUCUUUUGGAUGGUUAUAAUAUUAAACUUGUAUUAUUCAAUCAAACAGAGUGACUUUGUAUACAUGGGAGACACUCUUAAUUAUUCAUCCAUGUACAUUUUUAUAUUAAUACGCAGUUUGUAGGUGAUCCUCUCGUGGAAGAUAUUUCUAGAAUGCACAACAACGAUCUAGGCGGAUGAAAUAGGCUAUAAUUUUUAGUUGUGAUAACUUAUUAUGAGUUCUUUUAUGUUCUUAAAGUUGGAAAGUUUAUGUUGGCUGAUUUUUCCAUUUUCAAAAAUUAUUUUACGUGAAGAAAUAAAGUAAUAGAUUGAGCCACGAUGUUGACAAGUUUGUAGAGCCAACCGAUGCAUACAGUAAUUUGUUCGACAACCUGAAUUGGUGAGUUUAUAUAUUUUUCCUUUAAGGUAAAACCAUUUAGGUUGUGAUUCUGGAUCCAGGCGCAUGGUUGAAGUGACAAUAAUAUUUUUCUUUGCCUCAAUACAUUUUAUUUCUCCGGUAUUCCAUUUUCCUUAUGAUACGAGUCCGUGUUGCAUUUAUUCCUUAUGAUAUUUGUUCACUACUGUUUCUCAAUUAUAUAAAUUAAAAGAUAUUUUUCCGUUCUUUUAUGUGUGAUAGAGCUAUGACGGAUUCUGCAUGUGUGUGUGUGUGUGUGUGUGAGGGUGUGGAUUAACUAACAAAAUAUGCUUGUUUUGCAGUGUGGAAAUAGCUAAUUAGGAAAACAUGGACUUCUUUCAAUGAUAGUUCCAGUCUCUCCAAGGCCAUGCACAAGUAACUCACUAUAUUUCUAGUUGGUUAAUUUGGGAAGUUUUAGGGGUUUUAGUGAAAUAAAGUGUUUUUUUGGGAGGUUUUGUUAUAAACCGCAAAAAGCAAUUUUCAAACCGCAAAAAGCAAUUCCCUAAUUAAAUUGUAGUGAAACAAAGGUCUCAACUUGUGGUCGACACUGUUGUUAUACGAACAUUCUAUCCUUUAC